rnacentral:sRNA from 1 species
AGAGCUAGGAAGUUGUGGUGGUACUGAAGAAGAGGGAUGACGACAGCCUGAACAAAGACAGUGUCUGGGGGCAGAGGCAAAAUGUAUCUAUGGAGGAAAAGUUCUUGCAGAAGGCCAGCGGAUUUUAACCAAGAGCUGUCGGGAAUGCCGAGGUGGAGUUUUAGUAAAAAUUACAGAAAUGUGUCCUCCUUUGAACUGCUCAGAAAAGGAUCACAUUCUUCCUGAGAAUCAGUGCUGCCGUGUCUGUAGAGGUCAUAACUUUUGUGCAGAAGGACCUAAAUGUGGUGAAAACUCAGAGUGCAAAAACUGGAAUACAAAAGCUACUUGUGAGUGCAAGAGUGGUUACAUUUCUGUCCAGGGAGACUCUGCCUACUGUGAAGAUAUUGAUGAGUGUGCAGCUAAGAUGCAUUACUGUCAUGCCAAUACCGUGUGUGUCAACCUUCCUGGGUUAUAUCGCUGUGACUGUGUCCCAGGAUACAUUCGUGUGGAUGACUUCUCUUGUACAGAACACGAUGAAUGUGGCAGCGGCCAGCACAACUGUGACGAGAAUGCCAUCUGCACCA